rnacentral:rRNA from 1 species
GAUGAACGCUGGCGGCGUGCCUAAUACAUGCCAGUCGAGCGAACGGACGAGAAGCUUGCUUCUCUGAUGUUAGCGGCGGACGGGUGAGUAACACGUGGAUAACCUACCUAUAAGACUGGGAUAACUUCGGGAAACCGGAGCUAAUACCGGAUAAUAUUUUGAACCGCAUGGUUCAAAAGUAAAAGACGGUCUUUCUGUCACUUAUAGAUGGAUCCGCGCUGCAUUAGCUAGUUGGUAAGGUAACGGCUUACCAAGGCAACGAUGCAUAGCCGACCUGAGAGGGUGAUCGGCCACACUGGAACUGAGACACGGUCCAGACUCCGACGGGAGGCAGCAGUAGGGAAUCUUCCGCAAUGGGCGAAAGCCUGACAGAGCAACGCCGCGUGAGUGAUGAAGGUCUUCGGAUCGUAAAACUCUGUUAUUAGGGAAGAACAUAUGUGUAAGUAACUGUGCACAUCUUGACGGUACCUAAUCAGAAAGCCACGGCUAACUACGUG